rnacentral:rRNA from 1 species
UACGAGUGGCCCGAGCGUUAAUCGGAAUCACUGGGCUUAAAGGGUGCGUAGGCGGGUCGUUAAGUGUCUUGUGAAAUCCCCCGGCUCAACCGGGGAACCGCAGGGCAUACUGGCGAUCUUGAGGAAGCUAGAGGCGGGUGGAACGAUAGGUGGAGCGGUGGAAUGCGUAGAUAUCUAUCGGAACGCCGAAGGUGAAGACAGCCCGCUGGGGCUUUCCUGACGCUGAGGCACGAAAGCGUGGGGAGCAAACAGG